AUUGAACGCUGGCGGCAGGCUUAACACAUGCAAGUCGAAUGGUAACAGGAAACAGCUUGCUGUUUCGCUGACGAGUGGCGGACGGGUGAGUAAUGUCUGGGAAACUGCCUGAUGGGGGGGAUCACUACUGGAAACGGUAGCUAAUACCGCAUAACGUCGCAAGACCAAAGGGGGGGACGUUCGGGCCUCUUGCCAUCAGAUGCGCCCAGAUGGGUUUAGCUAGUAGGUGGGGUAACGGCUCACCUAGGCGACGCUCCCUAGCUGGUGUGAAGGGAUGACCGGCCGCACUGGAGCGGGGCCACGGUCCAGACGCCUGCGGGAGGCAGCAGUGGGGAAUGUUGCGCAGUGGGCGCGAGCCUGGUGCAGCCAUGCCGCGUGUAUGAAGGAGGCGUUCGGGUUGUGAAGUACUUUCAGCGGGGAGGAAGGGAGUAAAGUUAAUACCUUUGCUCAUUGACGUUACCCGGAGAAGAAGCACCGGCUAACUCCGUG
rnacentral:rRNA from 1 species